UACGUAGGCAGCAAGCGUUGUUCGGAGUUACUGGGCGUAGAGGGUGUGUAGGCGGUUCUUUUAAGUUUGGUGUGAAAUCUCCCGGCUCAACUGGGAGGGUGCGCCGAAUACUGAGGGACUAGAGUACGGGAGAGGAAAGUGGAAUUCCUGGUGUAGCGGUGAAAUGCGUAGAUAUCAGGAGGAACACCUGUGGCGAAAGCGGCUCACUGGACCAUAACUGACGCUGAUGCACGAAAGCUGGGGGGAGCAAACAGG
rnacentral:rRNA from 1 species